GUCUGAGAGCCACGUAAAGCAGAGCCCAGUGCUUACGCCCCUGGGGCCAACCCCUAAAAUCUCUGUGCCCCGUGCAGAGAACUCUGAGGCUUCUGGGAAGAAAAUUUUCUCCUAAAGAGGUCAUUUGUGGCCUUAUUAAAACCUCUUGGAAGGAGUGCAUGUUGGGAAAAAUAAGAAAUCACUGGAUCCAGUGAGCUAAAUGAGCGGCACUCAGAUGUGUCUACGACCAGCUUUCCCACUGUGGACACUGAGGGCUUGCUGGUGACGAGAGCGACAGUGCAGAGGACGAUGGUGAUGACGGUGGUGAGGCCGAGUGGCUGGCUGGCAGAAUGACUGACGCACACACGCGGGGGAUGGAAGCAGAGUCAAUCAGAAUUCAGCAUCUGAGCUUUGCCACAGUAAUUGCCCGGGAAGGAACUCGGCCAAACUAAUACAGAGUGUGCUCAACUAAUAUUUGGACAGUAACCUUUCCAUGGACAUGAAGGUGUGAAGAAGGCCAUUCUGGGGUCCGCUUGCCUUCAGAUGCCGUAGAGGAAUCCACACUGAGUUAGGAGUCAGAGGACCUGGAUUCCAGAAUUCUUCUCUGCGCUUGUUUUAUCUCCUGGAGGCUUGGUUUUCUCAUGCAAAUGAGGGUUCCUUGGUGCCUUUAAUGGCCUUAAACCCCACAUGAGCCCAGUCAUGGGAGUGACAG